GGCCAAAGUUGAUAGGACGUCCACUUAACUUGGAGUCCGAACUCUCACUUUCUAACCCUGUGCACUUGUUUGGGAUAGUAACUCUCGCAAGAGAGCGAACUCCUAUUCACUUAUAAACACAAAGUCUAUGAAUGUAUUAAAUUUUAUAACAAAAUAAAACUUUCAACAACGGAUCUCUUGGCUCUCGCAUCGAUGAAGAACGCAGCGAAAUGCGAUAAGUAAUGUGAAUUGCAGAAUUCAGUGAAUCAUCGAAUCUUUGAACGCACCUUGCGCUCCAUGGUAUUCCGUGGAGCAUGCCUGUUUGAGUGUCAUGAAUACUUCAACCCUCCUCUUUCUUAAUGAUUGAAAAGGUGUUUGGUUUCUGAGCGCUGCUGGCCUUUACGGUCUAGCUCGUUCGUAAUGCAUUAGCAUCCGCAAUCGAACUUCGGAUUGACUUGGCGUAAUAGACUAUUCGCUGAGGAAUUCUAGUCUUCGGAUUAGAGCCGGGUUGGGUUAAAGGAAGCUUCUAAUCAGAAUGUCUACAUUUUAAGAUUAGAUCUCAAAUCAGGUAGGACUACCCGCUGAACUUAAGCAUAUCAAUAAGCGGAGGAA
rnacentral:rRNA from 1 species